UUACCUAUGGAAUAUCUUACAGACGAAAAUUUUCCGUCGAUAACCAAACUGAAUAAAUUUCAAAUCCCCUUCCCAGAAUAGGGAAAACCCAUCCCUAAUCCCUCUCUCCCUCUCCCCCACCGUGAGAAAGUCGCCGGCCUGUAAAUCGGUAUGAAUAAAGAUGCAAUAGACAGCAGUAGAAUAAAGAUGCUACCGAUGCUGCUGUACUGCUUUUCUCCUUUAGCUGGGUUCAAACAGGCAGAGCUUGAGUCUUUUAAAAUGGAAUAUGCAAAUGCAUGAUUGGAAUGUAAUGCAGCUGAUGUACGCGCUAAUAUAUUGGCUUCUGAAGUCAUUGGUUUAGAAAAGAAGAUACGAGUUAGAUGCUUCAAAGAACACACGGAUAUAAGCAAAUCAUCCCAAAUAGUCAUAGAUACAAGGAAAACUUAAGGAAAACUGAAAGCACUUGUGCCAGGCAAUGGAAAUGUCCAUAUUUGAACUUGAGUUUGAGUUACAUAAAGGAAAAUUGAAUAUCUGACAAGCGUUGUUGCACUGCAUAUUGACAAGCUGCCAGACCUAGUGCUUAAGCUAUCUUCAGAAGUCUGAUAAGCAAUUGUAGUAGUGAACUGGUAUUUUUAAAUUGCAAUGAUUUGCCAUGGUCCUUAUUUUAGUGUUGGUUUUAUUUACUCAACUUUUCCAGCAAGCACGGAUGCUACUUCUGAUGAGAGGAAAAUCAAUAACACCUGCCAACAUGGUGGUUCAGCCUUCAUGGAAGUAUAACGAUGAUCGUAAUCAAGUUGACAAGCAGUUCCACAAGUUGUUGAACUGGCAGAAGUUUUCUUUGCUGUGACAAUGCUCUUCCAAUCUAGGGAUAUAGGCUUGAGGAGAAUGGUCUAUGUGAUGAUAAAGGAGCUAUCUCCAUUAGAGGUUGUAUAUCUUUAAUUUUCCAAGCUUGUUGAAUAAAGUUUUGUGUGCAUGCAUCUGUGCAAAUUUAGAUACCAACUAAUGCUUAUUUCCGUUGAGAGAGGUUGUUAUUGUCACAAGCUCUCUUAUGAGGGACAUGACUAGCAAGACUGAUAUACAUCAAGCAAAUGCUAUUUGUGUGCGUUGUAGGAUAACAGGUGGAACUCUUCUAACCCAGAUUUAGAGAUACUUGAAACAAGCAAUUGUUGACAAAAAUCCAGUUGUUGCAAGUGCUGCCUUAGUCAGUGGUAUUACUUUUUUUUUUUUUGGGGGGGGGGGGGGGUUGGUUUUCAUAUAGUUUUUAAAUUAAUUAUCAAAACUCUAGUGACUUGUUAGCAUGUUGUAAAUAUUUUGGCAAACAAGCCCUGAGAUUGUCAAAUGAUGGAAUAAUGAGGUUGAAGAAGCUGUUCAAUCCAAAGCAACCCUUGUGCAGUUUCAUGCUCUGGCAUUGCUCCACCAGAUACGGCAAAACGAUAGACUAGCUGUUAAUAAGCUGGUUAGUAGUUUGACUAGGGGGAGUGUCCGUUCACCUUUAGCCCAAUGCGUAUUGAUACGUUAUAGUAGUCAGGUUAUUCGUGAGUCAGCCAACAACACUCAAACGGGGGAACCGCCCUUUUUAUGAUUUUCAUAAGGGCUGUCUGCGCUAUAAGGCUGAGAUGGUGAUUUUUGAGGCUGCUAGAGCAAACACAAAGCUCAAUGGUGUGACAAGCCGAGAAUUGACUCUAGCAAUUACAGUUCUUCAACUCUUUUUAAGCUCUUCUAAGCCGGUGUUGAGAUUUGCUGCAGUUUGUACUUUGAACAAGGUUGAUUUAUUUUCCUUUGCUCAGUAAUAUGUCAUGCUAUUGUAUAGAUAUCUAUGUUGUUGGUUCAACAAAAUGAAAGCCAAGAAUUUUGGUGAGAGGGGCUAGGAUAGUUUCUUCUGCAAAUUUCAGAAGUUCAAACACACUUAUGGAGCUUGUUGAAAGUGUUGUUACUAAUUACUAUAUUGUUUAGAAGACGUUUAAUCACUUUUCAAUCAUAAAUGAUUAUUGUUUCUUUCUAGUUGAGAUGCAUAUAUUUUCUGUGCUUUCU